rnacentral:rRNA from 1 species
CUACGGGAGGCAGCAGUAGGGAAUCUUCCACAAUGGGCGAAAGCCUGAUGGAGCAACGCCGCGUGAGUGAAGAAGGUUUUCGGAUCGUAAAACUCUGUNGAAGGGAAGAACAAGUACAGUAGAACUGGCUGUACCUUGACGGUACCUUAUUAGAAAGCCACGGCUAACUACGUGCCAG